UAUAAAUAAGACCCUUUUAUUCAUUACAGAAAAUAUACACUCAUUCACUCUCAAUCACAAAUUCUCUCAUCACUCUCCCUUCUCUCAUUGCUCUCUUGCUACUUUAACAAUACAUUGAGAAUCCGGUAUUUAUUCAAGUGUUCUUCUUCGCUAUUUGAUUACUUUGUUCGAGUAAAAGUUGAAUCAAUUUGUUUUGCUUAACGGAGUCAUGGCUCACCCUCAUUUUCCCAACACACAAAUGGUGGUCAAAGUUAAUCCAAUUUUGAAGAUGGUUUUGGCGAUGGAAAAGAGAGAAGAUGGGCUCGCAACCUCCUCAACACCGACUAUGACAUUAUCCCAGAAAUGAGGAAGCAGAUUGUGCCUAACAUUGGAGAGCAACAUAAUUAAAGUUUUUUUUUUCUCUUUAUUCCCCAUGUGUUAUCCCUAGCCCUUUAGUUAUCUCUAGAUUUAUGUAAUAAAUAGAAAUUAUUUCAAUAAUUGAAAGUCGUUUUAUUGUCUAACUCUAAACUCCAAAUUGGCAAAUAAGGCUUGAAUUAGU